UACGAAGGGGGCUAGCGUUGUUCGGAAUUACUGGGCGUAAAGCGAGUGUAGGUGGUUGUCCAAGUUGGAUGUGAAAGCCUUGAGCUCAACUCAAGAAAUGCAUUCAGGACUGGGCGACUAGAGGACCGGAGAGGAUAGUGGAAUUCCCAGUGUAGUGGUGAAAUACGUAGAGAUUGGGAAGAACACCAGUGGAGAAGGCGGCUAUCUGGACGGUUUCUGACACUAAGACACGAAAGCGUGGGGAGCAAACAGG
rnacentral:rRNA from 1 species